GCGGCAAAAGCUCAAAUUUGAAAUCUGGUACCUUUGGUGCCCGAGUUGUAAUUUGGAGAGUACCACUUUGGGACUGUACUUUGCCUAUGUUCCUUGGAACAGGACGUCAUGGAGGGUGAGAAUCCCGUGUGGCGAGGGUGUCAGUUCUUUGUAAAGGGUGCUCGAAGAGUCGAGUUGUUUGGGAAUGCAGCUCUAAGUGGGUGGUAAAUUCCAUCUAAAGCUAAAUACAGGCGAGAGACCGAUAGCGAACAAGUACAGUGAUGGAAAGAUGAAAAGAACUUUGAAAAGAGAGUGAAAAAGUACGUGAAAUUGUUGAAAGGGAAGGGCAUUUGAUCAGACAUGGUGUUUUGCGCCCCUUGCCUCUCGUGGGCUUGGGACUCUCGCAGCUCACUGGGCCAGCAUCGGUUUUGGCGGCCGGAAAAAACCUAGGGAAUGUGGCUCUGCGCCUCGGUGUAGAGUGUUAUAGCCCUGGGGAAUACGGCCAGUCGGGACCGAGGACUGCGAUACUUGUUAUCUAGGAUGCUGGCAUAAUGGUUAUAUGCCGCCCGUCUUGA
rnacentral:rRNA from 1 species